UACGUAGGGUGCGAGCGUUAAUCGGAAUUACUGGGCGUAAAGCGUGCGCAGGCGGUGAUGCAAGACAGAUGUGAAAUCCCCGGGCUUAACCUGGGAACUGCAUUUGUGACUGCAUAGCUAGAGUACGGUAGAGGGGGAUGGAAUUCCGCGUGUAGCAGUGAAAUGCGUAGAUAUGCGGAGGAACACCGAUGGCGAAGGCAAUCCCCUGGACCUGUACUGACGCUCAUGCACGAAAGCGUGGGGAGCAAACAGG
rnacentral:rRNA from 1 species